rnacentral:rRNA from 1 species
UACGUAGGGACCGAGCGUUGUCCGGAUUCAUUGGGCGUAAAGAGCUCGUAGGCGGCUGUUCAAGUCGAACGUGAAAACUCGGAGCUCAACUCCGAGCCUGCGUUCGAUACUGGACGGCUAGAGUCUGGUAGGGGGAUCUGGAAUUCCUGGUGUAGCGGUGGAAUGCGCAGAUAUCAGGAAGAACACCCGUGGCUAAGGCGGUUCUCUAGUACGGUACUGACGCUGAGACGCGAAAGCGUGGGGAGCGAACAGG